UUAAGCAUAUCAAUAAGCGGAGGAAAAGAAACCAACAGGGAUUGCCCCAGUAACGGCGAGUGAAGCGGCAACAGCUCAAAUUUGAAAUCUGGCCCCAGGCCCGAGUUGUAAUUUGCAGAGGAUGCUUUUGGCGCGGUGCCUUCCGAGUUCCCUGGAACGGGACGCCAUAGAGGGUGAGAGCCCCGUACGGUUGGACACCAAGCCUUUGUAAAGCUCCUUCGACGAGUCGAGUAGUUUGGGAAUGCUGCUCAAAAUGGGAGGUAUAUUUCUUCUAAAGCUAAAUAUUGGCCAGAGACCGAUAGCGCACAAGUAGAGUGAUCGAAAGAUGAAAAGCACUUUGAAAAGAGGGUUAAACAGCACGUGAAAUUGUUGAAAGGGAAGCGCUUGUGACCAGACUUGCGCCCGGUGAAUCACCCAGCUCUCGCGGCUGGGGCACUUUGCCGGCACAGGCCAGCAUCAGCUCGCUGUCGGGGACAAAAGCUUCGGGAACGUAGCUCUCUUCGGGGAGUGUUAUAGCCCGUUGCAUAAUACCCUUCGGUGGGCUGAGGUACGCGCUCCGCAAGGAUGCUGGCGUAAUGGUCAUCAGCGACCCGUCUUGAAACACGGACCAAGGAGUCAACCUUAUGUGCGAGUGUUUGGGUGUCAAACCCCUACGCGUAAUGAAAGUGAACGCAGGUGAGAGCUUCGGCGCAUCAUCGACCGAUCCUGAUGUUCUCGGAUGGAUUUGAGUAAGAGCAUAUAGGGUUGGACCCGAAAGAAGGUGAACUAUGCGUGUAUAGGGUGAAGCCAGAGGAAACUCUGGUGGAGGCUCGCAGCGGUUCUGACGUGCAAAUCGAUCGUCAAAUAUGCGCAUGGGGGCGAAAGACUAAUCGAACCUUCUAGUAGCUGGUUUCCGCCGAAG
rnacentral:rRNA from 1 species